rnacentral:rRNA from 1 species
GGAUUAGAUACCCUGGUAGUCCACGCUGUAAACGAUGAUUACUCGCUAUUGGCGAUACACUGUCAGUGGCUAAGCGAAAGUGAUAAGUAAUCCACCUGGGGAGUACGAUCGCAAGGUUGAAACUCAAAGGAAUUGACGGGGGCCCGCACAAGCGGUGGAGCAUGUGGUUUAAUUCGAUGAUACGCGAGGAACCUUACCAGGACUUAAAUGCAUAACGAUCGGUUGAGAAAUCAACUUUUCUUCGGACGGUAUGCAAGGUGCUGCAUGGUUGUCGUCAGCUCGUGCCG